AUUCUAACUUGGUACCGGGCUCACCGAUUAUCAGCAAGGUCGGGGGCCCCGUGCCGAGGCCUCCCAUUGCGCUACGGGUGGCUGAAGCACGACAACGACCCCAAAGUGGGGUCGGAUGUGGUACAUAAUUUUUGGUAGUGCACCUUUGCGUACGCGCCUGCC
rnacentral:snRNA from 1 species